UACGUAGGUGGCAAGCGUUGUCCGGAAUUAUUGGGCGUAAAGCGUCCGCAGGCGGUUGUACAAGUCUGCUGUUAAAGCGUCCAGCUUAACUGGAUACAGGCAGUGGAAACUGUGCGACUAGAGUUUGGUAGGGGUCACGGGAAUUCCCAGUGUAGCGGUGAAAUGCGUAGAUAUUGGGAAGAACACCAGCGGCGAAAGCGCGUGACUGGGCCGGAACUGACACUCAUGGACGAAAGCUAGGGGAGCGAAAGGG
rnacentral:rRNA from 1 species